UACGAAGGGGGCUAGCGUUGUUCGGAAUCACUGGGCGUAAAGGGCGCGUAGGCGGCCGAUCAAGUCGGGGUGAAAGCCUGUGGCUCAACCACAGAAUUGCCUUCGAUACUGUUUGGCUUGAGACCGGAAGAGGUUAGUGGAACUGCGAGUGUAGAGGUGAAAUUCGUAGAUAUUCGCAAGAACACCAGUGGCGAAGGCGGCUGACUGGUCCGGUUCUGACGCUGAGGCGCGAAAGCGUGGGGAGCAAACAGG
rnacentral:rRNA from 1 species